rnacentral:rRNA from 1 species
GACGAACGCUGGCGGCGUGCUUAACACAUGCAAGUCGAACGGAAAGACCCUGCUUUUGUGGGGUGCUCGAGUGGCGAACGGGUGAGUAACACGUGAGUAACCUGUCCUUGACUUUGGGAUAACUUCAGGAAACUGGGGCUAAUACCGGAUAGGAGCUCCUGCUGCAUGGUGGGGGUUGGAAAGUUUCGGCGGUUGGGGAUGGACUCGCGGCUUAUCAGCUUGUUGGUGGGGUAGUGGCUUACCAAGGCUUUGACGGGUAGCCGGCCUGAGAGGGUGACCGGCCACAUUGGUACUGAGAGACGGCCCAGACUCGUACGGGAGGCAGCAGUGGGGAAUAUUACACAAUGGGCGGAAGCCUGAUGCAGCAACGCCGCGUGCGGGAUGACGGCCUUCGGGUUGUAAACCGCUUUCGCCUGUGACGAAGCGGGAGUGACGGUAAUGGGUAAAGAAGCACCGGCUAACUACGUG